AAGGGAGCUUCGGAAUCACAGAAGACAGUUUAUUUUGAACAUAUGGAAAAGAUGAGGAAUGUCCUCCCAGAGAUAACCAUCUCUAACCUGCAGUUGACAGGAUCUUCAGACCUUCUCCAGCUAUUAGACGUUACUUUUGUACAUUAGGACAGCGGGAGUCACGUGAGGAGCAACCAUACCUUUAACACCCAUUUCUCUGGCUCAUGAGGACACAGUGCAUCACCAACCAGUGAGCAAGACAGAUCUGAGGAGAUUUUCCAAGUACUUGAUGGCAGCCUUAAGUUAAAUUAAUGCAUCUGAAGGAAGCAAAAGUGUCUCAUUACAAAAGUAAGUAAUCACAGGGAUACCUGCUUUGGCUGUUAGGUAUAAAUCAUAACUAAUAAGUGGAGAAAGUGCUUUUCCCCCUUUUAUGAAGUGAUGGAGCACAAGUUGUUCCCCAGGUUUUUACAGAAUGGCACAUAUCCAUCCUCCUUAACACUAAUGAUGACUUUGACAUUGCAUUCAUCUGAUAUGAGACCUCAUCUAAGAGUGUCAAAGGAGUUGAUUGACUUAAGUCAGGUGGAAAACAGCCAGAAGAAGUAGCUGCAGACUAUAUAGCACUGGGACAACCUACUUUCAAAUGAAAUUUGUCACCUCUGUUUAAAAUGCUUGGCAACACCACAGAACAGUUAAAGACUAAAAGGUAUGGCCAACAUAACCAAAUGAUGCUGCACAGAUAAGCACGGCUGGCUGAAUUGGUUGGCCUCAGUUUCUCAAGACCAGACUGUUUUUGCCUAAGGAAAAGUAGCCAGGACCUCCAACAGAAGGCUCAAGAAGAAGGCAGAACCAGAACAUCACAUCCCUCACUAAUGAUGUGCCCAGCCAGCUACUAGUUCAACACUGACUCAGAAGGAAGAAAAAUCACAUACUGAGUAAUCAGCUCCACAUCCUGAAGAAUGUAAGUUUAUAGAUCCUUUGAGAUUUCUCUGGAACUUUUUUUGCUCACUUUUCUGAAGCAUCACUACCUGAGGAACUGUAUGUCUAAGUGUCACAUGGCCUGCAGGCAAGCAGAUGAAGGACAGUACGAGGACUUGAGUCCAUCCUGCAGCAGCAUCCACAGGGUAUGAUGAAAGUCCUGAAGUAGAAUAGCCGAAGUUGGCUAGCAAUUCUGAAGCUGGGAUUUUUAACCAUGGAAGAGGUGGGUCCCAGCACAGACCUGGAGAAGAAGAGGUCUGGAGAACACUAUUUGCCACAGUGACAGCACAGAUGUUACAAUCAUGGAGCCAUAGAAUACCCAAAAUUAGAGAGGAAAUACAAGGCUCGUCGAGUCCAACAUUCAUGCUUUUUCUCAGGCUGAUUGCCUUCCUUUUCCUUCUCCUGCAUCCUUCUCUGAUCAUCUCAUCAUUACUACAAUACCUGGUGGCCAGAGAACACCCAACACUUUCCCACCUUGCAAAAUGAAUAUUGGCUGGGUUGGGGCUUUUUGGUAAAUAAAAACAGCGGGUCUCAGUGUCACAUUUACAUCAAACCAAAUUCUUCCCACUAAAGGAAGCCAUAGUAAAUGGGCAUAUCAUAUAGUAAAUGUGUCUUCAUUUUUAUCUUUCAGAGUGCCAUGGAAAAGGUUGGAUAGUUAAACAGAUGAGCUCUGAAUACUUCUUUCCCUGUAAGAAUUAAUGACCAUACAUAAAUGAAAGUAAGCUGAGUUGUAUAGCAAAGAUUGUAAAUCUUGAAAUUCUUUCUUUAAAACUUUGGGUCACACACUUGAUGGACCUCUUGCUGUAUGGUCCAUAGGUAGUUUUGGGAACAUCUGUUAUCUCCCAGGAUCUUCACGGCUCCGUAAUCAAAGUCAAGUGCUGUUUUAAGAAAUAUCUACCUAUGAAGCAACUGUAAAACUGAUGCAGUUUCCUGUGCGGUGUGCAAAUACAGUUUAUUAAAUUCUCAAAAUACAUCAUUAAGUUAUUUUCCCAUGGGCCUCCUAGAUGAUGCCAUCAUUAUUAUUAUAUAUUUGCAUCGCAUUUAUGUAUAGAGGGCUGUCAGCCCCACCAGCACGCAGUUUCCUGCUGCCAUGGCGUCCUGAUGCCAGGCCAGAUCUUUGGUUGGACACUGCCUUUAAAUUUUUGUUUCUCUGAAAACUUUGUGCUACUGAGCUCUAUGUAGAAAUUGAAAAAUUUUGACAGGAUAAAGGAAUUUCUCUCUCUUGCAUUUCUCUUCCUAAUCAUUGCAUUUGAGGGGCUUGAUAUUUAUGAGAGUGAGACCUGAAAUGGAUGACAAGGACCAGGAUGCCAGGAUGCCUGGCAAACAGCAGGAAUUUCCACAUUGUCCCAUGCAUUAAGACAAAUGACAAUUCUCUAAAUCGUCAGUGGGCUAUUAUGUGGAAACCAAUGUAUCGUAGAUACACAACAAGAUUUAUGACAAGUAGUAUAUUAAAAAAAUGUAUGAGCAGGGAAUGAGGGCAAUUUCUAAGAGAAAUUAAUCCGUGCAGGUUUAUUGUUCUGAGAACAUUUCAUCCAUCCUGUUGUGUAAAGAUGAGUUCUCUGUGAAUGUUUUCAGACAAGACCUACUAAAUUGAAAACCCAACUCCUCCCCACUCACACUCUGAGGAUUCUUUUAGUUUUUCUUAAUCCUUUUGGCUGUUAUGUAGCAGUCUGAAACAGCAUCUCCCCACCGCCUUGCUGAGACUAACCAAAUUUAUUAUAUAAUCUCAUCCCCUGUUCCAAAAAAACUUCGAGAUCAAUCUCAAAAAGCAGUCCUCUGAACUUGGCAGGCGCUU